rnacentral:rRNA from 1 species
UCCUACGGGAGGCAGCAGUGAGGAAUAUUGGACAAUGGGCGAGAGCCUGAUCCAGCCAUGCCGCGUGCAGGAAGACUGCCCUAUGGGUUGUAAACUGCUUUUAUAUAGGAAGAAACACUCCCUCGUGAGGGAGCUUGACGGUACUAUAAGAAUAAGGACCGGCUAAC